AGGGAAUCUUCCGCAAUGGACGAAAGUCUGACGGAGCAACGCCGCGUGAGUGAAGAAGGCCUCCGGGUCGUAAAACUCUGUUGCCGGGGAAGAACAAGUGCCGUUCGAACAGGGCGGCGCCUUGACGGUACCCGGCCAGAAAGCCACGGCUAACUACGUGCCAGCAGCCGCGGUAAUACGUAGGUGGCAAGCGUUGUCCGGAAUUAUUGGGCGUAAAGCGCGCGCAGGCGGUUUCUUAAGUCUGAUGUGAAAUCUUGCGGCUCAACCGCAAGCGGUCAUUGGAAACUGGGAGGCUUGAGUGCAGAAGAGGAGAGUGGAAUUCCACGUGUAGCGGUGAAAUGCGUAGAGAUGUGGAGGAACACCAGUGGCGAAGGCGAUUCUCUGGACUGUAACUGACGCUGAGGCACGAAAGCGUGGGGAGCAAAC
rnacentral:rRNA from 1 species